rnacentral:rRNA from 1 species
AUUGAACGCUGGCGGCAGGCCUAACACAUGCAAGUCGAACGGUAACAGGAAGCAGCUUGCUGAUUUGCUGACGAGUGGCGGACGGGUGAGUAAUGUCUGGGAAACUGCCCGAUGGAGGGGGAUACCUACUGGAAACGGUAGCUAAUACCGCAUAACGUCGUAAGAACAAAGAGGGGGACCUUAGGGCCUCUUGCCAUCGGAUGUGCCCAGAUGGGAUUAGCUAGUAGGUGGGGUAACGGCUCACCUAGGCGACGAUCCCUAGCUGGUCUGAGAGGAUGACGAGCCACACUGGAACUGAGACACGGUCCAGCCUCCUACGGGAGGCAGCAGUGGGGAAUAUUGCACAAUGGGCGCAAGCCUGAUGCAGCCAUGCCGCGUGUAUGAAGAAGGCUUUCGGGUUGUAAAGUACUUUCAGCGGGGAGGAAGGGAGUAAAGUUAAUACCUUCGCUCAUUGACGUUACCCGCAGAAGAAGCACCGGCUAACUCCGUG